UGAGGAAUAUUGGUCAAUGGACGCAAGUCUGAACCAGCCAAGUAGCGUGCAGGAUGACGGCCCUAUGGGUUGUAAACUGCUUUUAUAUGGGGAUAAGGUGGGGAACGUGUUCCCUUUUGCAGGUACCAUAUGAAUAAGGACCGGCUAAUUCCGUGCCAGCAGCCGCGGUAAUACGGAAGGUUCGGGCGUUAUCCGGAUUUAUUGGGUUUAAAGGGAGCGUAGGCUGUCUAUUAAGCGUGUUGUGAAAUAUACCGGCUCAACCGGUGGCUUGCAGCGCGAACUGGUCGACUUGAGUAUGCAGGAAGUAGGCGGAAUUCAUGGUGUAGCGGUGAAAUGCUUAGAUAUCAUGACGAACUCCGAUUGCGCAGGCAGCUUACUGUAGCAUAACUGACGCUGAUGCUCGAAAGUGCGGGUAUCAAACAGG
rnacentral:rRNA from 1 species